rnacentral:rRNA from 1 species
GAUGAACGCUGGCGGCGUGCCUAAUACAUGCAAGUCGAGCGAACGGACGAGAAGCUUGCUUCUCUGAUGUUAGCGGCGGACGGGUGAGUAACACGUGGAUAACCUACCUAUAAGACUGGGAUAACUUCGGGACACCGGCGCUAAUACCGUAUGAUAUUUUGAACCGCAUGGUUCAAAAGUGAAAGACGGUCUUGCUGUCACUUAUAGAUGGAUCCGGGCUGCAUUAGCUAGUUGGUAAGGUAACGGCUUAUCAAGGCGAGGAUGCAUAGCCGAACUGAGAGGGGGAUCGGCCACCCGGGAACUGAGACACGGUCCAGACGCCUACGAGAGGCAGCAGUAGGGAAUCUUCCGCAAUGGGCGAAAGCCUGACGGAGCAACGCCGCGUGAGUGAUGAAGGUCUUCGGAUCGUAAAACUCUGUUAUUAGGGAAGAACAUAUGUGUAAGUAACUGUGCACAUCUUGACGGUACCUAGUCAGAAAGCCACGGCUAACUACGUG